GGGGAGGAAGAGGAUGAUGGGGUGGGGUGGUUCAGGGAGUGAAUAGGCCGGGUUGGGUGAGAUGAGGCUGGGUGUAUGUGCUUGAGAAGUCCGGGAGUGCGGAGGGGCAGAAAGGUAGACAGUGAGUGCGGGAAGAGGGGAUGGGGGUGGGGAGGCGAGGGCGGUCAGUGGGUUGAGAGGAGUGGGGAGAAGAUUUAGGGCGAGAGAGGUGCCAUCGUGCUGGGGAAGGCGGGACUAGGAGAGGUAAAAGAAUGGGGAGAGAAAUGGGAGGGAGAGAAGGAAGCUGAGGGAGAUUUGAGGGGAGAAGGCGCUUGAGGGGGAACCAGGAGGGGAGAAGGCUUGUGAGGGGGAAAUGUGAGAGGAGAAGGGGCGCGAGGGGGAACCGCGAGGGGAGAAGGGGCGCGAGGGGGAACAGCGAGGGGAGAAGGGGUCCCGCCUCCUGGCCGCGCCGCCCUAGGUGUCGCCGCCUGGCGGUUACGAGGAGGCCGCCUCCUGCUUGCCGGCCUGGCGGUCCUACUCAACACCGCAAGAUUUCAAAAGGGAAAUUCCUCCAGGGCUGAGUCACAGGGAAGAAAGCGAUUUCCUCCGCCUCUUCCAAAGCGGAUUUUAUAACCUGACAGCGUGCUGGAACUUCUCUGCUGGACUCCUGGACUCCCACAACGGUUGUGAGGCUAGACAAAAAAGAAAAAAAUCACUGUCGUCAUGGAAGUUAAAUUGUACUGACAAAGGAGGAAAAUGUCAGGGAGUUAACAAUUCAGUCUCUGUGGCUUCCUCCUGUCCUCUCCCUGAAACUGAGAUCCAGCCAAUCUGCACAUCUAUUCUGAGAGUGGCCCUGCUUUAAUGACUACACCCAGCUGUCUACACACCAGGAAGGGAGGGAACUGCAUCCUGAGGCACCAACCUGAUUACCCACCCAACAGCCACAGGGACUUCCAGUGACUGGGGCAUCAUCCUCACGCCACCAACCCCUCUCCUUCCUGUGGCUUUUCUAACUGGAACUGGAACUCAGAAAGUACAUUAAUCACCAAUUUGGGAAGCUAUAGGAAAGUAUGUUUUCUAAUAUACAGUGAGAGAAUGUGACUGAUAAAAACCAAUUUUCUUGAGACUUUCUCCCUGGAAAGUGAAUAUAUUUAUUCAUAGGGCCUUCACAAGCACAGACUAACAAGCAAAGAGCUACAUUCACUAGGAAGGAAGACUCAAAAGGCGAUGAAAAUAUUCUGGAACUAGAAAGUGAUGAUGAUGGUCACACAGCAAUGUCACAUACACAAUACCACAGAGUACACUUUAAAAUGGUUAAAGGUUUAAAAAUAGAAAAAAAAAUGAUGGCCCGGAAGAGCAAGUUCAGAGUGCUGUUCAUGAGUGAUCCGCAUGGGACCGCGAUGCCUCUGACGUCUGCCAUCCUGGAGAGCAGCAGAGCGUCACUAGCAGGUCUUCGUCUUCUCACUUCAUAACAUUCUUUCCAAAAGUCUUGUUGACAUUCUUCUGUCUUCCACAUAUAGUUUAUCUUCUUGAACUCAUUAUAACUUUAAAAUAUUUUUACUGUGUUACAUGUACUGCUUAUAUUUGUUUAUUUUAUAAUUAUUAAUUUUAAAUGGUGCACUUUAUUUUGCUCUAACAAUAAAAUUGACAUGUUCGUA